rnacentral:rRNA from 1 species
AGAGUUUGAUCCUGGCUCAGGACGAACGCUGGCGGCGUGCUUAACACAUGCAAGUCGUGCGGAAAGGCCCCUUCGGGGGUGCUCGAGCGGCGAACGGGUGAGUAACACGUGAGUAACCUGCCCUCAUCUUUGGGAUAAGCCUGGGAAACUGGGUCUAAUACCGGAUAGGACCAUCGACUGUGUGGUUGGUGGUGGAAAGC